rnacentral:lncRNA from 1 species
GUCCCAUGCCACCACCGCUUCCAGCAAGCUCCAACAGGACAAAGGACAUUAGAUGGAUGGCCCAGUGGCCAAAGGGAGGCAUCGAGGGAAGGUGGGGGGGGGAUCCUCUUGGUUCCUUAGAAGCCAAAGUAGCAACGUUUUUGAUCUUAGGAAUCCCCAGAGAUAUCAACUGGAAGGGUGUUUUUGUCAAAACAGAGAAACUAGACCAGGUCAUAGUCCUAUGGCAGGGACAGGAUCAGGGGCCACAGGCUGUGACAAAGCCUAGUUCUCCAGUCCUCCCCUGAAAAGGGGCGGAGAUACCCACGGGCUCGGGUGAGCUCAGAUUCCCCCUUCUAUGUCUCCAAGACAGAAGAACAGCAAAAUAUGCCUGGUCUAACCUCGAAGGAUGCGAGAGCUAAGACCCGAGUAUAUCUCCUGGGCUGAGCUUGCCUGGCAGGUCUGCAUCCCGCGUUCUCCCUUUCCCUCCCCUCUGGCACACAGGAGCAGGCCCUGACCUGGAUCCGACCCUACGGGUCCCUUCCGAGAACCCUCACCAGGUGUACCGUAACCCUGAGGAUCCAACCUUGCGCACCCUGGACUUCAGAGAGCCUCCACGGGUGAAUCCUGACCUGGCAGGUGCGAAUCCUGAUGGGUCUGAGUUCUCCAAGGGAACAAUAAGUGACUCAGCGCGCCCCUUUCUCUUUCAAUGUCCACUGUCCUGGGGUCUCAUCAUUGCGUUCAGGUUUGCAGUCUUGAUUUUCUAGAAGGGCAAUGGCCAGAAGGCAAAGGUUAGAAGGCAAAGACCUGUUUGUUUCCGCCGCCCAGUGGGGGCCGCUUGUGCAAGGCUGAGGGAUAGAUACAGCUCCUCCUUCAUCUCCCUGGGGCACAGGCUGGAGGAUUGUGCUCCACAGCAAAGGUUCCUGGACCUGUUGGUGAUCCCUCAGCGACUGCCAUCUGAAAUCCAGUUUGGGGGCUGGGGAAAGGCUCAGUGACUAAGAGUGCUUUCUAUGUACGUAUGGAGACCUAAGUUUGGAUCCCUGCACGCACACCAAAAAGCAGGCAAAUGUGCUUGCUGCCAAGCUGGAGAAACUGAGUUUGAUCCUUGGAACCCUCACGGUGGAAGAAGAGAGUUGACUAUUGGAGUUGGCCACUAUAGAAGGCACAGACCACACCCCAACACAUACAUAACACACAUACAAUAAAGAAAUAGAAGUCAAGUUCUUAAAUUAAAUAGGAAUUUAAUUAGCAUAAGCAUGGACAGAGUCUAUGGGAGCACAGACUCCUCAGCGUAGCUCAGGCUGAUCCCAGAAGUCCACUGUAGCUAAAGACUUCUCCUCCAGCCUCCCUUUGUAGCUAAGGAUAGCCCAGGACUAUGAAGUUCAGCCUGCCCCCAAAUUCAGUCUUCCAAAUGCCUGAACUACAGAUAUGAAUCACUAAGACUGUCUACAUUAGCGCUUUGGUACAUGAAGAAGCUGGACAAAGACAUUGGAUUCCCUGGAGUUGGAGUUACUGCAGACUGUGAGCCUCCUGGCAAUGGAAACCAAACUUUGGACCUCUGAAAGAUCAGGAAGUGAUCUUAAUGGCUGAUGUGCAUCACAGGCUGGGGACCAAUGUCCAAGACUAUGUGGACCAUCUCAAACCACCUAUGUACUUAUAAUGACAGCAAGCAAACGCAGGUGUGAGCCAGUGGCUCACAUGCUGGGCAAAUGCUCUCCCCGGCUUGUUUUUGGAAACAUGUUUCAUUAAGUUGUCCAGCCUGACAUUGAACUCAUUCUGUAGGUCUUUAAUUAAUAAGGAUACUGUGAAU